rnacentral:rRNA from 1 species
UUUUUUGAGAGUUUGAUCCUGGCUCAGGAUGAACGCUGGCGGUGUGCUUUAGGCAUGCAAGUCGAACGGUAAUUUCAACUUCGGUUGAGAACGAGUGGCAGACGGGUGAGUAACACGUGAGAAUCUACCUUUAAGUGGGGGAUAGCUCGCCGAAAGGCGGGGUAAUACCGCAUGUGGUCGCAAGAUCAAAGCCGCAAGGCGCUUAAAGAGGAGCUCGCGCGCUAUCAGCUUGUUGGUGGGGUAACGGCCUACCAAGGCUAUGACGGCUAGCCGGUGUGAGAGCACGACCGGCCACAAGGCUACUGAGACACGGAGCCUACACCUACGGGUGGCAGCAACCGGGAAUAUUGCGCAAUGGGCGAAAGCCUGACGCAGCGACACCGCGUGUGGGAUGACGCUCUUCGGAGUGUAAACCACUGUGGCGAGGGAAUAACACAAUGAAGGUACCUCGCUAGAAAGCACCAGCUAACUACGUGCCAGAAGCUUCGGUAAUACGUAGGGUGCAAGCGUUAUCCGGAUUUACUGGGCGUAAAGGGUCCGUCGGCGUCUGGGCAAGUUUUUUGUUUAAGCCUGAGGCUCAACUUCAGAAAAGCAAAAAAUACUGCUCGGAUUGAGUCUAUUCGAGGAAGUUGGAAUUCUUGGUGGAGGGGUGAAAUCCGUAGAUAUCAAGAGGAACACCGCGCGCGAAGGCAGGCUUCUAGGAUAGUACUGACGCUCAUGGACGAAAGCUUGGGUAGCAAAGCGGAUUAGAGACCCGUGUAGUCCAAGCUGUAAACGCUGUCCGCUAGUUGUUUCCCUCGCACUGGACUCGUAACCCGAGUCUGGUGUGAGGGAAGUGACGUAAGCUAACGCGUUAAGCGGACCGCCUGGGGAGUACGACCGCAAGGUUAAAACUCAAAGGAAUUGACGGGGGAGCGCACAACCGGUGGAGCAUGUGGUUU